rnacentral:rRNA from 1 species
UGGGCGAGAGUAGUACUAGGAUGGGUGACCUCCUGGGAAGUCCUCGUGUUGCACCCC